rnacentral:lncRNA from 1 species
AUAUGAUAUUCCUUAUUUUAUUUGGUGAUAUAUGAUGGACAUUUUUAGUUAUAAAUGUGGGGACAAAAGUAACAUUGUAUUCUUACUAAGGGAGAGACUCUUUUAGGAGUUGCAAGAGUCCAUUGAUGUCACAUACAGUGACAUAAAUUGUGAGUCCAUUGAUGUCACAUACAGUAACAUAAAUUGUGGGUCCCGGUUUGAAAUGGGUCACCAAAGUAGUGUUGGUUUUCAGUUUGAAAGACAAUAUUGAGGGAAGGCAAAAGGGUGGCUGGUGCUUUAUCCCUGGUGAUGAGUUUGAAGGUAUUUCAAUGAUAACUAAAAAAGACAUGGCGGAGGUUUGAAGGAAAUCGUACAAAUUAUUGGUACCCCGUUUUGUAUGGGAAGGGUAUGCACUAUGCAGUGAGAUAUUCAACAAGUUGGCCCACCUGAGUUGUUUGGCAGCAUGCAUACUAUUGAAUUGUUUGGCUUGAGAGGCUAAGGCUGCAUGUAUCUAUUCUCUUCAAACCUUACUAAGAGUCCCUUUGCGAGAGGUUUUUGGAAGGGCAUGAAAAAAUAAGACUUUAGAGUCAUCUUUUUUUUUGUAAGAAAUGGAAAUUUUAUAACGAAAAAAAGAGACUCGCAGGGAGCCCGAAAAACAGAUUACAACAAAGCCAAAAGGCAAGGCAAAGGAGCAGCGCUCCAAUCCUCAAAAGAAGGAAGAAUAUCUCUGUUAUGGUUUUUAGAUAACCA